UUUAUAUAUGCACACUCACACAAGCGUUUAAAUACACACGGGACACCCACACAGAGCACAAAUUUUGCGGCUUAAAGUUAAUUCAUUUCACAAGUGUUUACCUAACCUGGCAUUAGAGACGACGGCAUCCAGGGGACCCACCCUCUUUCGCAUUCUAAUGUGCCAUUAACAUAGCCACCUAAAUAAGUAAACAAAACCGGAAGGAAGCGCGUGCAGAUUCAGCGGAGUGCAAACAUUUCAAUUUGGGGAAACUGAUAAGUCCUAUAAACGAAGCCCCGAAACAGAGGGGCGAUAACUCAAACACAUCUUCUGAUUGAAGGCUUAAAGCAUUUUGGCCAGAGUUGCUCCUCCAUCGAGUAUCGAUUACUCUGCGUCUAAUGCACUUCUGCAACUGAAGAACUCGCAGCCCUCGCAUUUUCCUCCUCCCACCUCUUGAGAAUGUAACCGAAACUAUGUUGGCCGGGAAAACUUCGCUCGCGGCAGUCGGAAAAGUGAGAGGCACUAAUGGCUUCAGCUGGGGGAUAUUGAGGAAUUGAGAGGUAUAUAGAAUGGGAAUCUCUGAAAGGAGGUGGGUACAUCAGCAACUAAAAAUGAAGGCAUCAAAUUUGCCUUGAUUCCAUCCAUUGUCGAUGGCAAGACUCUAAAAAUAAUUGUAUAACCUGUACAAGUAAGUGGGUAAUAAUAAAGUGAUCAA